GAGCCAGCUUAGCCCAGCGGUUCCAUCAACCAACACACUGCUUGGGUCCCACAAUCGCCUCCUGCGGUGUGAGACCUGCAGGCGCCACCUGGCUUUA
ensembl:vault_RNA Vault Vault RNA